rnacentral:snoRNA from 2 species
GCCCUCUCAGGGUCGCACCUGGAGAGUUUCCAGUACUCUACCAGUCUUGACUACAGGAGGGAGAGUCAAGCAGAGGCAUACCCAUUCCAUUCCUAGCUUGGGCAGUGACUAGCGAGUGGAAGGCAGUCUGCUACAAGU